UUGGCCAUCCGGCCUCUGAUUGAAAAGUAGGAUCGGUGGCACCCCCCUUCCCCCGCUGCGUGGUUUCCGCGCCGAUUCAAGGUGACCCCUUGGACGGCUCGGGGGGCAAUGUAGUGGGUAGGGGGCGUGCAGGGAACCGCUACGUACUGCGCCGGAACGCUUCUCGCAGAUGAGUUACGUAUCCGAUCAAUAUAUAUAGAAGAAGCUGGGCUACCAAAAGUUGCCCAGUGUUGGCUCUUGUGAUCUGAUGCUACUAUUCCUAAAUCCGUCCAGUGCUUCGAGCCGAGAACGGUAAUGAGAAUAAUUGGUGUCGGUCUUAUUGAGUAACGCUGAAGAGAAUAAUACAUGUAUGUUUAUGUAAUUGUACAGAUAUUAAUUAUAAUAAACGUAUUAUUCUGUACAUGGGUUUUGAUUUGUUAUAAAAGUAUUAUCCGUUGAACAAAUCAGUGUAUCCUCCUCGUGGUUAUUAACGUCCGUAUCCGGUCAAUAACCGUACUAGAGGUACACGUAUGUCGUAGGUCUACCUCCUACUUCAAAUGGUGAUAAUUUCCAUAGUUCAAUUUGGAACCGAAGACUUUUCUCAAUUUAUUUGAAUUGAAUUUUGAUUUUUGCUCGGUAUCUACGGUUACUUUGGUCGAACGUUACGAUGAAAUGAUUUUGGAUUUUGCCUUUUUCUUCUUCGAGCGUUUUUGCGAGGUGUUUUUUACGCAUAAAUAACAGGAGUUUUUCUAGCACGAAAUCCGCCGGAAAUACUUCGACCUUGUGCCUUGCUGGAAUUGUUCGCUGCGAUAAUACCGUGAAAGAACGGUUAAUUAUUGUCACCACAUUCACCGUCACCGGAGGUGUAAUGACGUGCACCCGUACCAUUUCUUGGUCUGAAACAGAAAAAACCACAUUCAUCGUUCUGCGAGGUCUUCUUGACCUGCGUGAUGCACGAUUUGGAUAGCUCGACCCCCGAGGGUACUCGGCAUAAUUUUGUGGCGGUGGUUGAUUAUACGAUUCGCGAUAUUGGUCAGGC